rnacentral:rRNA from 1 species
UCCCCUAGUAACGGCGAGUGAAGUGGGAAAAGCUCAACUUUGAAAUCUGGCUGCUUUGCAGUCCGAGUUGUAGUUUCGAGAAAUGUUUUCCGCGUCAAUCCAUGUAUGAGUCUGUUGGAACACAGCGUCAUAGAGGGUGAGAACCCCGUUCAUGACAUGGCUUUUGAUGCUUUGUGAUACAUUUUCGACGAGUCGAGUUGUUUGGGAAUGCAGCUCAAAUUGGGUGGUAAAUUCCAUCUAAAGCUAAAUAUUGGCGAGAGACCGAUAGCAAACAAGUACCGUGAGGGAAAGAUGAAAAGCACUUUGGAAAGAGAGUUAAAAGUACGUGAAAUUGUCGAAAGGGAAACGAUUGAAGUCAGACGUGCAUGGUAUUCAUUACCUUUGCAGGCCAACAUCGGUUUUGCGAGUCGGAUAAAGGUAGAGAGAAGGUAGCAGUUUCGGCUGUGUUAUAGCUCUUUACUGAAUACGAAAUGUGAGACCGAGGGACGCAGUGCGCCGCAAGGCAAAGGGCCCGCUCUUUACGCACUUAGGAUGUUGGUGAAAUGGCUUUAAACGACCCGUCUUGAAACACGGACCAAGGAGUCUAACAUGCUUGCGAGUGUUUGGGUGUCAAACCCAUACGCGUAAUGAAAGUGAAUGGAGGUGGGAUCCGCAAGGAGCACCAUCGACCGGCCUUGAGAUUUAUCGAAGGGUCUGAGUAAGAGCACGUAUGUUGGGACCCGAAAGAUGGUGAACUAUGCCUGAAUAGGGUGAAGCCAGAGGAAACUCUGGUGGAGGCUCGUAGCGGUUCUGACGUGCAAAUCGAUCGUCAAAUUUGGGUAUAGGGGCGAAAGACUAAUCGAACCAUUAACAACCUAUGUUAAGCUACUAGGUGGUUAAGAGGGAGUUUAAAGGCUCUCUAGUGGGAUCUCUGCAACACUAUCAAAUUGCUGAAACUUCCUUAAGUUCAAUUGUACCAAGUUGCUAUUCGCAAGAGAGCAAUGGCCAGUCAGUUUACAGGUCAUGUAGAUUGCUGGGUAGGGUUAUAAUCAAUUGAAAUUGGACAAUUAGCAGCCAAGUUCCUUUAAUCAGGAUCGCAGUUCAACGACUAAAUGUUAGUGGGUCCUUGUUAGCAAGGGCUUAAGAUAUAGUCUAGACCUACUGGAAACAGUAUAAAGUAAAAGGUAUUGGAGCUAGUAGCUGGUUCCUGCCGAAGUUUCCCUCAGGAUAGCAGAAACUCAUCUCAGUUUUAUGAGGUAAAGCGAAUGAUUAGAGGCAUUGGGGAUGUAACAUCCUUAACCUAUUCUCAAACUUUAAAUGUGUAAGAAGUCCUUGUUACUUA